UAAAAAUGAUGACAUAUUCGACACCCGAAACUCUACAUACCGUAGAGUAAAAGCAUGGCGCACACUGCUUGAGGCACUCCUGUGGCAAGACUCAGCCAUAGACAAUAGCAUCUCAGUUUCGUCCGUUGUAAUCUUAGCGGCCGCCUGAAAGUGUUCGGCGGUUGCUGUAAGGCCAGCGGAACAGUAAGCAUAGACAACACGCCAGUGACUGAGACUGUUGUCUGCCGUUAAACCAAGGCAGAUAAUUUACGCUUUGGCAUAUACUUCCACAUAUACUUUAAUGAAACGCUCGAUGCUAUUGCCGUUAAACAGCAGCUGCUGAGGUGUGCGUCAAUGCAACAUUGACGACGUCUUUAGUAAUCUGAUUUAU